UUUAACUUAUGGCCUUAGUCCCAGAAAUUUUAUAUUAGCCAUGUAAAGCCUUCUGAGCUACUAGAAAAAUUGGAUUCAAAUUAAAAUGAGAGGUUAUUUUUCAAAAUGCUUUGUAGUUUUGUCAGUGGCCUGAUGAGAAAUGUUCAAGUAAAAUUUGCACCAUUAAUAAUGCUUUAUACGUAAUCACUGUAGUCUCAGGUUCAGAUCUGUUUGUAGAUUCUGCUACAGAUUAUCUUUUGGGGGAAGAGUUUAGACAAUAUUUUUUUUUUUUAUUCCAAGGAUGGGCACCACACAGUCUUCUUUUGGAUAGUAGACACAGAAAUGUUUAAUAAGCUGGAACUGGCUAAGAAGUGACUGUAGCAGGAGCUGCUGGCUGUUAACCAACAGUGAUUCUCCAUUAUUCCCAGGUACUACAGGUACUACCACCACUCCAUUACUCCCAGGUACUCAUUUAACAUUCAAAUUCUAUUUAAAGGAAAAUUCCUUAGAAAUACCCUCUAACAAAUUAAAAUUCAACUCUAAAUUAUUCAUGCUUACCUGAAAAUUUUGUAUGGGUUGUAUAUUGUUUUACACAUAAAGAACCCAAACUAAUUUUUCUUAUAUGUAAGAACAUUUUAAGUAUAGAUGAUAUUGUUAGAUUUUAUAUGAUCUAACAAUUGAUGAUAUUUCUAAAGAAGUUUCAUUUAAAUAGAAUUUGAAUGUUAAAUGAUACCUGUGAUACAUGCCUCUUCCACUCCUAGGACUUAAAACAUUGGGCAUUUGUUCUUUGAUGCUCUUGACCUCCUCCCCUGAACUGGAAUAAAUUCUAUUUAAAGGAACUUCUUUUGAAAACAUUCCUUACAGAGAUAAGAAAAAUAACCCAGAUGAUGAUGGAAAAAGAAAAUGGAUAAGACUUGGAUUUCUGAAUGACCAUGUGGAACACAGCAGCCUGCCUACUUGUUCUGGAUUGAUUUGUGGAAUAGAAGUAAAUCAAUUUUAAAGCUACUCUAUUGUUAAGACUCACUGGGAUCACAUUUUAGCAGCUUUGCCUUUUUAUUAAAUGGCAUUGGGCCUCUUCCGUAAACUCCUACUCCACUUUCACGUUCUCCUCCCAUCCUGGUACCUGCUCAUUCACUAGGCACCUGGGAAGCUACCUGAGUGAGUGUCUGUUCUGGAUUCUUUUCCUUAUGUUCUCUGCCUGUUUCUUUUUUUUUUUUUUUUCCCAAGUCUCAAGUCUCAGUACACUUAUAUUUAGCUAUCUGGCUCUUUCAAAUGGCUCCAAUUAAUUCAGUCUUUUUUUUUUUUUUUUAAAUGCUUAGAGACCACUUCUUCUCCUACAGGCCCUCAUUUCCCCUGAGAGUGGUGACUUAAUCUAAAUGAAUGGAUUUUUUUUUUUUUUUUUUUUAUUGGCAGCUGAAGCCGAAGCCCACAGAUCAUGACACUAUCUGUCCAAUGUAUUAUAUAAAGCUAGGCAUCCUCUUCUGUAUGAAAAAGAACCUUUUUCCUUUCGGAUUCCCCGGCUAGAGCAGGGCUCAGUCUCCCCUAAAAGAGAAAGAAUUAAAAAAAAAAAAAAGAGAAACUAGGGUUUUCGGCUUUUUUAUUUUUUCUUUGCCAUUAUUUCUCUGGUUUAAUAGAAAGUAUGAGAUCAUUCCAAUUUUUAAUCUGAAAAACAUAGGCUUAAUUUAUCAUUUCAAACAGUCAUGAAGUAAAUACCUAUUGGUUCCUAUCCACUAUCUGUAAGUAAAUUUAACUAAGGAGAUUCUGCAACUUACCUUAGGUUUUAUAGUUUUCCAUUUAUUCAUUUCAACAAAUUUGAAGAUGAACGUUUCUAAGUACUGCCUUAGAUUUUUCAACUUAAUCUGUCUUUGUGAGUUUGGAAAUGAAAGAAAUUGUAGAUGGCUUGUUCAAAGAAAGUUCAUUUUCUCUCAACCUCCUGACUUAUAAACCAGAGAAUAGCAGGUGCUCAUUCCACAGGUCAUCCUGCGUGAAGCACUCUAGAGCUUUCCACAUCCCGAUGCAGCUCUUUAGGGGGACAUGAGGUAACUACUGGGUCAUGGUCAACAAACAAAGAGGAUUCAAAGAAUAGAAUACCAGUGCUUUUGUUACAAUUUCAGUAGGUAUUGUUUUGUGAAGCUUUAGUUACAGUUGUUUAUGAAUGUGAGUAUGUGUGAAUAGUUGUUCUUGAUACAAAAUGUCUUACUAUUAAAAAUAAAGUCUUGAAAAACUUUGCUUUAGUUCA
rnacentral:lncRNA from 1 species